GUUGCUCUUGGCCAGCCAGUCAGUUCCAGAUUGGCACAACUAGUGCCAACCCUGCUGAAGGCAGGGAGGGUCUAGAUCCCCUUAGAGUCUCACCUGGACUCCCAGAGUCUGGUGUGCCCGAGGCCCAGAAGGUACUGGCCGUGUGGAAGCUGGAUACCAACCAUAGGGGCCAGGCUUAGCCCUGCCAGCAGCCCAGCUCCCAUCAUGUGGUCAGGACGCUUCCCCUGCCUGACUGCUGGCUCCCAAUCCCAAAUACCCACAAGGGCUCUGCGGAACGAGGCCUGAAUUCCAGUGCCCCCCACCGCUGGCCUCUCCCACAACCCUGACCACUGCCUCCCCCGUCCCCUAGAAUCUGUGCCCCCAUCUGGGGUGGGGCACAAAUGCCCUCCAUUAACAACAAUAAUAAGUUGAAUGGAAAUUUUCCUCUCACAAAGUACAUCCACAUCCAUUUGCCUCCAGGACCCAGCUAGGCAGAGAGCAGAAAGUCCAUUCAAGAGAUGAGGAAACUGAGACCACAACAUACCCAAACUCACACCUGUUUUUUUCUUGAAUCUCAGCCUUUGCAUUUAUCUUGGGAAAACACAUUCCUCUUCAGCUUUGAGGCCUUGGCUUCAAGGUCACUUCAGCCAGGAGGUCCCCGGUCUCCCCAGCUGCAGGUAAGGGCUCUCCUGUUGUGCUAGAGUUGAUAACUUGCUCACAUCUGCCACUGGGCGGUCAGGCCAGCUGCUGCUCUGUCUGUCCCUCCUCAUCCCUGGCACUCUGCUCAGGGCCUCACAUGCAGGAAGGACAUAAGGAAGAUUUGCUGAAGGAAGGACGGAAGAAAUGAAUGAGCCACCAAAGUGGCAGAUUUUCUGAUCGCCAGUCUAGUGCUGGCAGGAAGGACACUGCAAAGGACAGGGCAAAGCCGCCCAGUGCGGACAUUUCAGCUGUCGGUGCACAGGGACCCAAUGCAUGCCUGGUGUACUGACCCAAGAGCAAGCAGCUCAGCCCACCUGGGAGCAAAUUUUUGCUCAAACACUAGCCCAAGGAAGCAGAAUUGGAAAGAACAUCUGAUUUUCCAGAAUCCAGCAGAGCCUUCUAGAGCGAUUUGGGAUUAUCUGCUCCAGGGAUCACCCUGCCAGCUUUCUCCCUCCUAGACAGAUGAUUGGGAUUUGACUACAUACUAAUCUUUCUAAGCCUCAGUUUCCUCAACUGUGAAAGAGAGGGUUGGUCCUAGGUGACCCCUAAGGCCCUUCCGAGUUCUGAAGGAAGCUAUUUUAGCUGAUUCCCUGUGUGUCCUCCAUGAGGCUGGAGAAGUCCAACCACAGCUCCUUGGUGGCCAAUUCCGUGGGGACACUUGUGGGCUCCCAGCCUUGCAGGGCCCGCCUGCUCCGGCGGCUAAGCUUGUCCCUCCCCAUCCCUGAGCCAGAGCUCAGCCAGGUGCCAGGUAGAGAAAGUGAGCCUCGGAUUGGGGCAGGAGGGCAGGGGUGGGGUGUGUCCCACAGGUGAUGGGGUCGCCAGGAAGGACACAAUGUAAGGCCCACCUUUGAUUCCAUGUGUCUCGAGCUCUCUCUCUGCCUACUUCCACCCAUCACCUUAACAAACACCAUGUCAAUUUUUAAAAUUGCUUGAAAGCUGCCAUUGUGGAGAAUGUGCUCUGGGGAGCUCCCCAGAGCAGGAAAGAAUGUGCACCCCCCGCACAUCCCCACCAAGACAUAGGCACUGAGACUGCGGAGAAGACUGGCCAGGCCCUGGCAGACUCCAGCAUCCACCAGUCAUCAGCAAACAUUUACCGGGCACUUGGUGGGCACGGGUGGAGGGACAGCGAGGCAGGGGCAAAGGAAUAAAAGGUGUUGGUUAAAUUCAUUCACCAGUUAAUGAGUACCUACUGGGUGCCAGGUAUGGAGCCAGUGCCACCAUGGGGAAGCUGACAAACUGGCCUGGGAGACAGGACACCUCCUUCCCGGAAUAACCUGGAACUUUGAGACUUGGCAGAAAAGAUCGUAAAGAAAUGAGUCCCUAGGCCUCAGCAGCCAUUAGUCUCAAAAGGACGAAGCCCAGAUAGACUUCCUGCAGGAAGGAGGCUGGGGCGUGGUUUGGCCAUGGGAAGAUCAGUGGGCAUUCCAAAGGACCCCACAGCCGAGAUGCUCAGGGAGAAGAGGCAGGGAGGGAGAGAGAAGGUAACCCUCGUGUUUGCAUCUUGUGCCUCACAACACCCCCUAGAGGGGGCAACAGUCAUCUCCAUUUUACAGAUGGGGGUCCUGAAAUCAAGACAGGUUCAGACACUUGCCAGGGCCACACACAGCCACGAGGGACAGAAAGCAAGAUCUGCCCAUGCCCCACAGCCUGUCCUUUCCGGGGGCCACCUCGCCUCUCCCUGAGCAGGCUGGCCUCAUGCUGGGAGCACCAGCAGGCAGAAGCCCAGGACUCCAUUGGGAAUUAGGAGGCCGGUUCCUGGGGGAUUUUUGGGAUCCAUGAGGAUCAGGGAAUAAGAUCUGAGACAAACAGGACCCCAGCCCUACAGGUGAGUGCCCGCUUGGGGAUGGGGAUUUCAAAGGCACAGAUCACGGGGAGAAAAUUAAAUUGUCAAAGAGGAAAACCAGCACUGCCAUCCCUCCUUCACUCAUUAAUUUCUGAGGAAGUAUUAGCUGUCAGCAAGCAGCGGCCCUCCAAUUCAAAUUACAGAAUUUGAAUUCUUAAUUUCUCCUAAUCCAUCAGUGAGCUGCCUUCCUGGGCUAAUAUUAGCAGCACUGGCGAGGCUUGUAGCAGAGUCAUUGAUGUCUCCCUCCCUCUGAAGAAAGCCUAAUCGAUAGGGCUGGGCCUGGGGUGGGCCUCUCAGAGGCAGGGACCCCCUCCUCACUCCCCAGCUGCCUCCAGUCCCAGGAAGAAAUUGUGGAACUUUAGGGAGGUCCCUGGAGAGACAGGAGAACAAAGAAGAGGGAAGACAUAAUCAGAACCUGACAGAGACGUGGAACAAGGGAGGGAGGGUGAGACCCAGGGAAAGACAAAAUUAGCGAGACCAGGAGAGGUGGAAGCAGAGAGUGAUGGAGACUGAAUCAGAGGCCCAAAGAGAUGGAUGGAGACUGAGAUGGAGAGGAGGAAGGGAGCCCUCCAGAACCUAGGGUCAGAGCAACCCGCACACUGUCUUUGUUCAGGGAGAAAACACAGCAAAGCAAAACCAAAGCACCAGGGGACUCCCAGGCAUCUUGGGGAGUUUUGUGCCCCACGGAGAACAUGGCCCCCAUAACCCUGGGCCCACUAGAACACCUUGGUGUCCUGGAGUCAGGUACCUCGAAUCCAAUCAUAGCUCAAAGGUCUCCUCUGCCAGGAAGCUCUCUUGCUUUCCAUCCCUUUCCCCUUGGGCGGUAGCACCCUCUCCUGCUCAGCUCCCUGGGUCCUGGAGACAUUGCACCGCUGCUUCUCUGCACAGGUGGGGAGAGCAUGGGCGAUGAGACCAUUGGGGGCGGGGAAGGCUGCUGGGCUAGGCACCAGACAGGCGUUUCCUAUUGAUCUCUUCAACAAGGCCGUGAGGUCGGGACUAUUAUUACCCUCGCUUAACAGAUGAGGAAACAGGCACAGUUAGGUCACUUGCCCAAGGUCAUGGGGCAAUGAAGUAGUGGUGUCAGGAUUUGAACCCGAGCAGGCUGACUCCAAAGCAAAGUGGUUAAACCCUGUGACAGAACGUUGGGGGAACCCCCAGGGGGUUGUAUAUGGUGCAGUCCCUGUUCUUGUUGAACCAUAGAAGGAUGAAGGACAUGCCAGGCCAGCCCCAUGACUUCCUCAUGUGACCCCACUUCCAUCAGCUAGUCUUCUUGUUAACAUCCAGAUAGCCUCAUACUUCCAGCCCUCGUCCAGCUCAUACUGCUCCCUCCUGCCUUUCAAUCUCCCAAAUCCAACCCUUCAUCCAGGCAGGCCCAGUUCAAGUCAGGCCUUCAGCUGGAAGCUUUCUGGUAGCCCCUGUCCCUCCCUGGCUGGGUCCUGGCCCUUUCUGUGAAUGACCUUCCUCCUCAGCAAGUUGUGAGCCCCUGUGCACAGCCUGGGUGCCCUCCAACAUCCUAGGACUCAGCCUUGCCUGGGCAAGUGCUCAGUAAAUAUUUGUGGACUUAUCAACUGAUUGAUUGGUGAAGUGAAGACAAGAGGCCUAGGACAAAGACGCCUGAGAACUGAGCAGUGUCCCUGUCACCCUGGGCCCUGGGGAGUGUCAGGGAGCCAGAGACACACAGGCGGGGACUCCAGGCCCCAGCAGCAGUGUGGGCAGAGCAGCACUCCAGACUGCUCUCCCAGCUGCCCUCAGGAGACCCCGUCUUCCCAGGUUAGAGGACUUGGGAUGUGAGUGGGGAAGGGAGAAACAGGGGCCCCUCAACUUGAGAAGGGAGCCCUACAGGCUGCUCUUGAAGCUCCUCUCUCUCCCCAGCUCUGCCCAGGCCCAGGGUCUUCAUCAGGGUUGAGGCCACUGUCCCCCCUCCCUUUGCUGCUCCUGCUGCUCCUCCUCCCCAAUCUGAGAAGCUGGGCCUGAAUAGAACUAUUUUGGGCCAAGCCUCUGAAUUAUGCAAGGUCUGGCCAGAGCCCGCCUGUCCUGAUUGGUGGCAAUGGUGGUUCGGAAUAGGAGACCACUGUCUUCCACUUUUGGCAAAUUCAUUUCAGUUGCCAGGUGCCAGGUAGAGUGCGAUGGGGUUGCAUGCAUUUGUUUGUGAAGAUUUUGUGACUGAAAGGUUGUGGGUGUGCAUGAACAGUUAUGGGACCACAGCUUCCCAGAGACCUUUCCCACCCUCUGAAGCUCUAAAAGCAUAGACCCCUGGGCCCAGCACCUUGUGGUCCCAAAAUCUGUGUAUCUGGCCAACAGCCAGUAUGAAUGGAGGCCCACCUUCAUGUGGGACGAUGACACAAGUCAUCCUCCCCCUACCCUGCCCCUGGAGCCACAUGGACAGAAAAGAGAUAUCACCCCAUCAGGGCAGAUCCAGGAGCGGUGAAGGAGAGGCAUCCACUGCCUGACAAUAAGAGCUGUGAUGGCCACUAUGGGUUGAGAACUUUCUCUGAGUUCAGGCGCUUUGCAUACAUGAACUGAAUUAAAUGUCACAGCACUUCUAUACGGUACGUACUAUUAUUCCCAUUUUACUGAUGAGGAAACUAAGGGUCAGAAAGACUAAGAAACUUGCUCAAGAUCACACAUGUGGAACAAGCAGAAUCAAAAUUCAGACAGCUAUGGAAAUAAUAAGGCAAACCACAGCCCGGGAAACUAUUUCCAAUAGAUACAUCUGACAAAGCAAACUCUUACAACUCAAAAAUAAGAAGACAAUCUAAUUUUAAAACAGUGAAAAGAAGCUAUCGAUGGCCAACAUGCACGUGAAAAAGACAUUUGACAUCAUUUGUUAUCAGGUAAAUGCGAAUUAAAACCACAAUGACGUACCGCUACACACCCAUCAGAAGUCUGACAAGCUGAGUGUUGGUCAAGUUGUGGAGCAACUGGAACUCUUGUCACUGAGUGUAGAAAUGCACGAUGAUACAGCUACUUCAGAAAACAGCCUGCCAGUCAAACAUACAGUGACCCUGGGGCCCAGUCAUUCCACUCUUAGGUAUUUA
rnacentral:lncRNA from 1 species